rnacentral:rRNA from 1 species
CCUACGGGUGGCAGCAGUGGGGAAUAUUGGGCAAUGGGCGCAAGCCUGACCCAGCAAUGCCGCGUGAAGGAAGAAGGCUUUCGGGUUGUAAACUACUUUUAAGAGGGAGGAGCAGAAGACGGUACCUAUUCAAUAAGCCACGGCUAACUCCGUGACAGCAGCCGCGGUAAUACGUAGGUGGCAAGCGUUGUACGGAUUUACUGGGUGUAAAUGGCGUGCAGCCGGGAAGACAAGUCAGAUGUGAAAUCCCCGGGCUCAACCGCGGAACUGCAUUUGAAACUGUUUUUCUUGAGUACUGGAGAGGUCAUCGGAAUUCCUUGUGUAGCGGUGAAAUGCGUAGAUAUAAGGAAGAACACCAGUGGCGAAGGCGGAUGACUGGACGGCGACUGACGGUGAGGCGCGAAAGCGUGGGGAGCAAACAGGAUUAGAUACCCUAGUAGUC